GAUGAACGCUGGCGGCGUGCCUAAUACAUGCAAGUCGAGCGAACAGACGAGGAGCUUGCUCCUCUGACGUUAGCGGCGGACGGGUGAGUAACACGUGGAUAACCUACCUAUAAGACUGGGAUAACUUCGGGAAACCGGAGCUAAUACCGGAUAAUAUAUUGAACCGCAUGGUUCAAUAGUGAAAGACGGUUUUGCUGUCACUUAUAGAUGGAUCCGCGCCGCAUUAGCUAGUUGGUAAGGUAACGGCUUACCAAGGCAACGAUGCGUAGCCGACCUGAGAGGGUGAUCGGCCACACUGGAACUGAGACACGGUCCAGACUCCUACGGGAGGCAGCAGGAGGGAAUCUGCCGCAAUGGGCGAAAGCCUGACGGAGCAACGCCGCGGGAGUGAUGAAGGUCUUCGGAUCGUAAAACGCUGUUAUUAGGGAAGAACAAAUGUGUAAGUAACGAUGCACGUCUUGACGGUACCAAAGCAGAAAGCCACGGCUAACUACGU
rnacentral:rRNA from 1 species